CAGGAUGAACGCUAGCUACAGGCUUAACACAUGCAAGUCGAGGGGCAUCAGGAAGAAAGCUUGCUUUCUUUGCUGGCGACCGGCGCACGGGUGAGUAACACGUAUCCAACCUGCCCUUUACUCGGGGAUAGCCUUUCGAAAGAAAGAUUAAUACCCGAUAGCAUAAUGAUUCCGCAUGGUUUCAUUAUUAAAGGAUUCCGGUAAAGGAUGGGGAUGCGUUCCAUUAGGUUGUUGGUGAGGUAACGGCCCACCAAGCCUUCGAUGGAUAGGGGUUCUGAGAGGAAGGUCCCCCACAUUGGAACUGAGACACGGUCCAAACUCCUACGGGAGGCAGCAGUGAGGAAUAUUGGUCAAUGGGCGCUAGCCUGAACCAGCCAAGUAGCGUGAAGGAUGAAGGCUCUAUGGGUCGUAAACUUCUUUUAUGUAAGAAUAAAGUGCAGUAUGUAUACUGUUUUGUAUGUAUUAUACGAAUAAGGAUCGGCUAACUCCGUGCCAGCAGCCGCGGUAAUACGGAGGAUCCGAGCGUUAUCCGGAUUUAUUGGGUUUAAAGGGAGCGUAGGUGGACUGGUAAGUCAGUUGUGAAAGUUUGCGGCUCAACCGUAAAAUUACAGUUGAUACUGUCAGUCUUGAGUACAGUAGAGGUGGGCGGAAUUCGUGGUGUAGCGGUGAAAUGCUUAGAUAUCACGAAGAACUCCGAUUGCGAAGGCAGCUCACUGGACUGCAACUGACACUGAUGCUCGAAAGUGUGGGUAUCAAACAGGAUUAGAUACCCUGGUAGUCCACACAGUAAACGAUGAAUACUCGCUGUUUGCGAUAUACAGUAAGCGGCCAAGCGAAAGCAUUAAGUAUUCCACCUGGGGAGUACGCCGGCAACGGUGAAACUCAAAGGAAUUGACGGGGGCCCGCACAAGCGGAGGAACAUGUGGUUUAAUUCGAUGAUACGCGAGGAACCUUACCCGGGCUUAAAUUGCAGUGGAAUGAUGUGGAAACAUGUCAGUGAGCAAUCACCGCUGUGAAGGUGCUGCAUGGUUGUCGUCAGCUCGUGCCGUGAGGUGUCGGCUUAAGUGCCAUAACGAGCGCAACCCUUAUCUUUAGUUACUAACAGGUUAUGCUGAGGACUCUAGGGAGACUGCCGUCGUAAGAUGUGAGGAAGGUGGGGAUGACGUCAAAUCAGCACGGCCCUUACGUCCGGGGCUACACACGUGUUACAAUGGGGGGUACAGAAGGCAGCUAGCGGGUGGCCGUAUGCUAAUCCCAAAAUCCUCUCUCAGUUCGGAUCGAAGUCUGCAACCCGACUUCGUGAAGCUGGAUUCGCUAGUAAUCGCGCAUCAGCCACGGCGCGGUGAAUACGUUCCCGGGCCUUGUACACACCGCCCGUCAAGCCAUGGGAGCCGGGGGUACCUGAAGUACGUAACCGCAAGGAUCGUCCUAGGGU
rnacentral:rRNA from 1 species